rnacentral:rRNA from 1 species
UACGGGGGGAGCAAGCGUUGUUCGGAUUUACUGGGCGUAAAGGGCGCGUAGGCGGUCAGCACAAGUCAGUUGUGAAAUCUCCACGCUCAACGUGGAGGCGCCACCUGAAACUGCCGUGACUCGAGUCCGGUAGGGGAGUGUGGAAUUCCCGGUGUAGCGGUGAAAUGCGCAGAUAUCGGGAGGAACACCAGUGGCGAAGGCGGCACUCUGGGCCGGUACUGACGCUGAGGAGCGAAAGCGUGGGGAGCGAACAGG